GGCCUCGUCUUCCUCUCCUACAUCAUCUACAUGCUGUGAUGGCGAAGAGGCGGGCGUUUGUUUUGCCCCCCGGCGCAUCCCCGGUGUCCGUGGAGGAGGAGGACGGGAGGAGAGGCUCGUCCAGGCCCUGAGGAUGAGGAUGGCGACGGCUCCCCCCACCGGGGCUCUCAGGUGGGACGUUGAGCAGGAUCCAACCAGGAGGAGGAGAAACAAAAACGGAGAGGAUGAACUGAAAGCCGGACUUGUCCCUCCUCUCCCCCCCAAACACUUACACUUAAUUUAACUGCCCUCUUUUGGAUCAGUGCCAUCUGGCCCCGUCCUCCAGCAUCCCCUGUAUCCUCCAUCAUCCUGAACAAGAGGGGCAGUAUUACCUCUGCACAAGUGAAUACUCGGUCUGCCUUUUUGAUACAACACUGUGAGAUGAUAAUGAUAAUCAUGAUUUGUUCUGACUCUGAUUCGCUGUGUCCAGUUUGACAGUGUUAUCCUCAUCCUGUUGUUGUCACUGACGCCUUGCUUGGCAACGGCAGUGUUUAUUUUAUUUCCGUUGCAUUGCCAAUCUUAUCUUCUCUCCCGUUUUCAUCUGUUUCUGUCUUAAUUUAAGCUGCAGAUGACCUGCAUGAAGGAACAUGUGUGUGCGUGCGUGCGUGUUUCUCAGUUUUAGCACAAAAGCUCAUUUAUAUGAUGUGUUGUGUUGAAAUGCUGUCAUGUUUCCUGAUGGUUGUUUGGAGAAAUGGUUUCACACGACAUGCUGAAUAAAGAUGAUUCCAGU